GGGGUUGUGGCUCAGUGAUAGAGCACUCGCCUUGCAUGUGUGAGGCCCUGGGUUUGAUUCUCAGCAACACAU
rnacentral:tRNA from 1 species